UACGUAGGGUGCAAGCGUUAAUCGGAAUUACUGGGCGUAAAGCGUGCGCAGGUGGUUGUGCAAGACAGCUGUGAAAUCCCCGGGCUUAACCUGGGAAUUGCAUUUGUGACUGCACAGCUAGAGUGUGGUAGAGGGGGAUGGAAUUCCGCGUGUAGCAGUGAAAUGCGUAGAUAUGCGGAGGAACACCGAUGGCGAAGGCAAUCCCCUGGGCCUGCACUGACACUCAUGCACGAAAGCGUGGGGAGCAAACAGG
rnacentral:rRNA from 1 species